rnacentral:rRNA from 1 species
CGGACCUGACUGCUAUCGGAUUGAUACUAAGCCAUGCGAGUCUUUGUAGUAAUACAAGGCAGACGGCUCAGUAACACGUAGUCAACCUACCCUAUGGACAAGAAUAAUCUCGGGAAACUGGGCAUAAUUCUUGAUAGAUCAUAAUGCCUGGAAUGGUUUAUGGUUAAAAUGAUUCGUCGCCAUAGGAUGGGACUGCGGCCUAUCAGCUUGUUGGUGAGGUAAUGGCCCACCAAGGCGAUUACAGGUACGGGCUCUGAGAGGAGAAGCCCGGAGAUGGGUACUGAGACACGGACCCAGGCCCUAUGGGGCGCAGCAGGCGAGAAAACUUUGCAAUGUGCGAAAGCACGACAAGGUUAAUCCGAGUGAUUUCUGCUAAAGAAAUCUUUUGCCAGUCGUAAAACCGCUGGUGAAUAAGGGGUGGGCAAGUUCUGGUGUCAGCCGCCGCGGUAAAACCAGCACCUCAAGUGGUCAGGAUGAUUAUUGGGCCUAAAGCAUCCGUAGCCGGCUUUGUAAGUUUUCGGUUAAAUCCAUGUGCUCAACGCAUGGGCUGCCGAAAAUACUGCAUAGCUAGGGAGUGGGAGAGGUAGACGGUACUCAGUAGGUAGGGGUAAAAUCCUUUGAUCUAUUGAUGACCACCUGUGGCGAAGGCGGUCUACCAGAACACGUUCGACGGUGAGGGAUGAAAGCUGGGGGAGCAAACCGGAUUAGAUACCCGGGUAGUCCCAGCUGUAAACGAUGCAGACUAGAUGAUGCAUUGGCAUAAUAGCCAUUGCAGUGUCUCAGGGAAGCCGUUAAGUCUGCCGCCUGGGAAGUACGUACGCAAGUAUGAAACUUAAAGGAAUUGGCGGGGGAGCACCACAAGGGGUGAAGCCUGCGGUUCAAU